CCUACGGGUGGCAGCAGUGAGGAAUAUUGGUCAAUGGGCGUAAGCCUGAACCAGCCAAGCCGCGUGAGGGAUGAAGGUUCUAUGGAUCGUAAACCUCUUUUAUAAGGGAAUAAAGUGCGGGACGUGUCCCGUUUUGUAUGUACCUUAUGAAUAAGGAUCGGCUAAAUCCGUGCCAGCAGCCGCGGUAAUACGGAGGAUCCGUGCGUUAUCCGGAUUUAUUGGGUUUAAAGGGUGCGUAGGCGGCCUUUUAAGUCAGCGGGGAAAGUCUGUGGCUCAACCAUAGGAUUGCCGUUGAAACUGGGAGACUUGAGUAUGAUUGAGGCAGGCGGAAUGCGAGGUGAAGCGGUGAAAUGCGUAGAUAUAACGCAGAACCCCAAUGGCGAAGGCAGCCUGCCAAGCCAUGACUGACGCUGAUGCACGAAAGCGUGGGGAUCAAACAGGAUUAGAUACCCCUGUAGUC
rnacentral:rRNA from 1 species